rnacentral:rRNA from 3 species
AGCGUACACGGUGGAUGCCCUGGCAGUCAGAGGCGAUGAAGGACGUGCUAAUCUGCGAUAAGCGUCGGUAAGGUGAUAUGAACCGUUAUAACCGGCGAUUUCCGAAUGGGGAAACCCAGUGUGUUUCGACACACUAUCAUUAACUGAAUCCAUAGGUUAAUGAGGCGAACCGGGGGAACUGAAACAUCUAAGUACCCCGAGGAAAAGAAAUCAACCGAGAUUCCCCCAGUAGCGGCGAGCGAACGGGGAGCAGCCCAGAGCCUGAAUCAGUGUGUGUGUUAGUGGAAGCGUCUGGAAAGGCGCGCGAUACAGGGUGACAGCCCCGUACACAAAAAUGCACAUGCUGUGAGCUCGAUGAGUAGGGCGGGACACGUGGUAUCCUGUCUGAAUAUGGGGGGACCAUCCUCCAAGGCUAAAUACUCCUGACUGACCGAUAGUGAACCAGUACCGUGAGGGAAAGGCGAAAAGAACCCCGGCGAGGGGAGUGAAAAAGAACCUGAAACCGUGUACGUACAAGCAGUGGGAGCACGCUUAGGCGUGUGACUGCGUACCUUUUGUAUAAUGGGUCAGCGACUUAUAUUCUGUAGCAAGGUUAACCGAAUAGGGGAGCCGAAGGGAAACCGAGUCUUAACUGGGCGUUAAGUUGCAGGGUAUAGACCCGAAACCCGGUGAUCUAGCCAUGGGCAGGUUGAAGGUUGGGUAACACUAACUGGAGGACCGAACCGACUAAUGUUGAAAAAUUAGCGGAUGACUUGUGGCUGGGGGUGAAAGGCCAAUCAAACCGGGAGAUAGCUGGUUCUCCCCGAAAGCUAUUUAGGUAGCGCCUCGUGAAUUCAUCUCCGGGGGUAGAGCACUGUUUCGGCAAGGGGGUCAUCCCGACUUACCAACCCGAUGCAAACUGCGAAUACCGGAGAAUGUUAUCACGGGAGACACACGGCGGGUGCUAACGUCCGUCGUGAAGAGGGAAACAACCCAGACCGCCAGCUAAGGUCCCAAAGUCAUGGUUAAGUGGGAAACGAUGUGGGAAGGCCCAGACAGCCAGGAUGUUGGCUUAGAAGCAGCCAUCAUUUAAAGAAAGCGUAAUAGCUCACUGGUCGAGUCGGCCUGCGCGGAAGAUGUAACGGGGCUAAACCAUGCACCGAAGCUGCGGCAGCGACGCUUAUGCGUUGUUGGGUAGGGGAGCGUUCUGUAAGCCUGUGAAGGUGUGCUGUGAGGCAUGCUGGAGGUAUCAGAAGUGCGAAUGCUGACAUAAGUAACGAUAAAGCGGGUGAAAAGCCCGCUCGCCGGAAGACCAAGGGUUCCUGUCCAACGUUAAUCGGGGCAGGGUGAGUCGACCCCUAAGGCGAGGCCGAAAGGCGUAGUCGAUGGGAAACAGGUUAAUAUUCCUGUACUUGGUGUUACUGCGAAGGGGGGACGGAGAAGGCUAUGUUGGCCGGGCGACGGUUGUCCCGGUUUAAGCGUGUAGGCUGGUUUUCCAGGCAAAUCCGGAAAAUCAAGGCUGAGGCGUGAUGACGAGGCACUACGGUGCUGAAGCAACAAAUGCCCUGCUUCCAGGAAAAGCCUCUAAGCAUCAGGUAACAUCAAAUCGUACCCCAAACCGACACAGGUGGUCAGGUAGAGAAUACCAAGGCGCUUGAGAGAACUCGGGUGAAGGAACUAGGCAAAAUGGUGCCGUAACUUCGGGAGAAGGCACGCUGAUAUGUAGGUGAAGCGACUUGCUCGUGGAGCUGAAAUCAGUCGAAGAUACCAGCUGGCUGCAACUGUUUAUUAAAAACACAGCACUGUGCAAACACGAAAGUGGACGUAUACGGUGUGACGCCUGCCCGGUGCCGGAAGGUUAAUUGAUGGGGUCAGCGCAAGCGAAGCUCUUGAUCGAAGCCCCGGUAAACGGCGGCCGUAACUAUAACGGUCCUAAGGUAGCGAAAUUCCUUGUCGGGUAAGUUCCGACCUGCACGAAUGGCGUAAUGAUGGCCAGGCUGUCUCCACCCGAGACUCAGUGAAAUUGAACUCGCUGUGAAGAUGCAGUGUACCCGCGGCAAGACGGAAAGACCCCGUGAACCUUUACUAUAGCUUGACACUGAACAUUGAGCCUUGAUGUGUAGGAUAGGUGGGAGGCUUUGAAGUGUGGACGCCAGUCUGCAUGGAGCCGACCUUGAAAUACCACCCUUUAAUGUUUGAUGUUCUAACGUUGACCCGUAAUCCGGGUUGCGGACAGUGUCUGGUGGGUAGUUUGACUGGGGCGGUCUCCUCCUAAAGAGUAACGGAGGAGCACGAAGGUUGGCUAAUCCUGGUCGGACAUCAGGAGGUUAGUGCAAUGGCAUAAGCCAGCUUGACUGCGAGCGUGACGGCGCGAGCAGGUGCGAAAGCAGGUCAUAGUGAUCCGGUGGUUCUGAAUGGAAGGGCCAUCGCUCAACGGAUAAAAGGUACUCCGGGGAUAACAGGCUGAUACCGCCCAAGAGUUCAUAUCGACGGCGGUGUUUGGCACCUCGAUGUCGGCUCAUCACAUCCUGGGGCUGAAGUAGGUCCCAAGGGUAUGGCUGUUCGCCAUUUAAAGUGGUACGCGAGCUGGGUUUAGAACGUCGUGAGACAGUUCGGUCCCUAUCUGCCGUGGGCGCUGGAGAACUGAGGGGGGCUGCUCCUAGUACGAGAGGACCGGAGUGGACGCAUCACUGGUGUUCGGGUUGUCAUGCCAAUGGCACUGCCCGGUAGCUAAAUGCGGAAGAGAUAAGUGCUGAAAGCAUCUAAGCACGAAACUUGCCCCGAGAUGAGUUCUCCCUGACUCCUUGA